rnacentral:misc_RNA from 1 species
ACCGCGAUCACCGCCACCGAGCUGGCGACGACGGCAUUGGUGGUGGAGCGGCCGACGCCCUGGGUGCCGCCGCGGGUGCGGAGGCCGACGUGGCAGCCGAUGCUCGCAAUCGUGAA